GACCAAUUACUUGAGCGGUUCGGAUUCUUCGAAACAACGGCAUAAAGGAAUUUGGUUAGAGUUUCUAUACUUCUCUAAUUUGGUCUUCUCGGUUUUACGAAAAACUUUUUCGGUAUUUUCUUGGAGUUUUCGUUGGAGAAGAAAGGUGGGAUUCACUAUAAGGUUCUUGAUUUUUUAGCCGGAGAAGACAUAAGGUGUAAGCUUGUACUUUUAUUUCUUCAUAUAGUGGAAUACAUCUCUCUCGCUCUCCCCGUGGACGUAGGCAAUUGCCGAACCACGUAAAUCUUGGUUUCUUCUUUCUGCAUUUAUUUCUUUUACCAUUCGGUCGAUUUUUUCUAUUUUUCGUGCAUCUUUGUUGGUAGCACAUGACGGACGAUCCAUCCGUGCUAUCAGAGCGUAAGGUUCGUGCUACAUCAGAUAUGUCGAAAGUCUCGUCUUCUAAGUUUGAGGUGGAGAAAUUUGACGGUAAAGAAACUUCGGUCUGUGGCAGAAAAGAGUGAACGCCCUUCUGGUUCAACAGGGCCUUCAUAAGGCGUUGCUCGGAAAAUCGAAAAAGCCGACAUCGAUGAGCGACGAAGAUUGGGAGGAUAUUGAUCUGCGGGCGGUGAAUACAAUUAUAUUAUGUCUAGUAGAUGAGGUGAUGUAUAACGUAACGGAUGAAGAAACUACAGUCGGCAUGUGGGACAAGCUAGAGAAGCUGUACAUGACCAAAAGCCUCUCGAACGUGCUGUACCUAAAGCAAAAAUUAUAUGGGCUACGCAUGAAGGAAGGUACGGCAAUAACGGAACACUUGAACACCUUUAAUAAAAUUAUUGCGGAUUUGCUCAGCAUUAAUGUCAAGGUUGACGAGGACAAUAAGGCGUUGAUUUUUCUUACAUCACUUCCGUCGUCCUACAAUCACUUAGUGACCACCAUACUGUACGGGAAGCAAACUCUAAAGAUGGAAGAUGUUACAUCGACACUUUUAUCUGAAGAGAUCAGGUUGCAGGCGAGUACCGAAGAUAGCAGUGUAGGUUUGGUCGUAAAUGAUACAAGUGGAGGAAGGGGACGAUCUAGCGAACGUGAUGUAGGUAAAGGAAGAUCCUGUUCCAAGUCAAAAUCGAAAAAGGUGAAGUGUUACUUCUGCAAGAAAGAGGGCCACGUGAAAAGAAACUGCGAGAAGAGGAAGGUUUGGCUGCGAAAACUAGAUUCCUCUGCAGAUACGGCGAGCGUAGCUAGCGACACUAGUCAGGAUGUUUUGACGGUUUCUACAGGUUCAGAAUCUCUCAAUGACUGGAUAUUGGAUUCGGGUUGUUCUUGUCACAUGACUCCGGACAAAUCUUUAUUUGAUACUUAUAAAUCUUGUGAAAGCGGUAGUGUUAUGAUGGGCAAUCGCACUAGCUGCAAGAUGGUCGGUAUCGGAACAGUAAAAAUAAAGAUGUUUGAUGGUGUGGUUAGAACGUUGACGAAUGUGAGACACAUUCCGGGUCUUAGAUUGAAUUUGAUAUCGCUUCGUACUCUUGACUCUAUUGGUUGUUCUAUUAGCAUUUCAGGUGGAGUCGUCAAGGUGAAAAAGAGUGCUAUGGUAGCCAUGAAGGGAGAGAAGGUGGGGAAUCUGUACAAGCUGAUCGGUAAGCCGGUAACAGCGGAGAAGUCUAGGCAUUCUCUAGACUUCGCUAACCUGCAUGACUGUUAGUGUCGAGAUGCCUCAGGGAGAGGGGGCGAUAAGAUGAGAGAGAGUAAUGAAGUAAAAAAGAAGUCAAGAUGGAGAAUGUUAAAGAUAUACCUUCUUUUUUAUUGGUUUGGUUCAUACAUCGGGUUUAUGAAAAAAAAUAAAUAAAUAGGAUCUCAUAAGGAUUUAUUUUUGGUGGAUCCUACUUUAAAUUGGAAUCGUAGGUGGACUAGGAUUGGUUUCCAUAUAACACUCUAUAUUCAAUAAUCAUAUUGAAUUAGAGUAGGAUUGAGCCAAAUCCCUCUCUAUAUAUACAUGCAUAUGCAUGUACGGCUUGGUGAGGCGCGUGGAUAAAUUAAUUAGCAUUCAUGGUCCGGCUAAUUAAUACACGGUGUCUCCUGUGGCCAUACGGAAGAGGCUGAGGAAGAGGCUUAAUUAAUUAGCCAUAGUGGACCGUACGGCUUCGGGUGCAUAGAAGCAAAUUAAUUAGCAUAAGGUGUAUUGGCUAAUUAAUUAACAUAGCACCAUCCGUACGGCAUAAGAAGGCUGCACCUUUGCAUGCGACGUCGGAUCAGCAGGAGCAACGGUUCUCGACCAAUUACUUGAGCGGUUCGGAUUCUUCGAAACAACGGCAUAAAGGAAUUUGGUUAGAGUUUCUAUACUUCUCUAAUUUGGUCUUCUCGGUUUUACGAAAAACUUUUUCGGUAUUUUCUUGGAGUUUUCGUUGGAGAAGAAAGGUGGGAUUCACUAUAAGGUUCUUGAUUUUUUAGCCGGAGAAGACAUAAGGUGUAAGCUUGUACUUUUAUUUCUUCAUAUAGUGGAAUACAUCUCUCUCGCUCUCCCCGUGGACGUAGGCAAUUGCCGAACCACGUAAAUCUUGGUUUCUUCUUUCUGCAUUUAUUUCUUUUACCAUUCGGUCGAUUUUUUCUAUUUUUCGUGCAUCUUUGUUGGUAGCACAUGACGGACGAUCCAUCCGUGCUAUCAGAGCGUAAGG
rnacentral:lncRNA from 1 species